UGGCACUUGGGGCGGGCGUGGCUUAUACAUGCAAGUCGGAGCGAACUGAUUAGAAGCUUGCUUCUAUGACGUUAGCGGCGGACGGGUGAGUAACACGUGGGCAACCUGCCUGUAAGACUGGGAUAACUUCGGGAAACCGAAGCUAAUACCGGAUAGGAUCUUCUCCUUCAUGGGAGAUGAUUGAAAGAUGGUUUCGGCUAUCACUUACAGAUGGGCCCGCGGUGCAUUAGCUAGUUGGUGAGGUAACGGCUCACCAAGGCAACGAUGCAUAGCCGACCUGAAGAGGCUGAUUUCGACCACACUGGAACUUGAGACACCGCCCAGACUACUACGGAAGGCAGCCAGUAGGAAAUCUUCCGCAAUGGACGAAAGUCCGAACGAGCAACGCCGCGUGAGUGAUGAACGCUUUCGGAGUCGUAAAACUCUGUUGUUAAGGAAGAACAAGUACGAGAGUAACUGCUCGUACCUUGACGGUACCUAACCAGAAAAGCCACGGCUAACUACGUGCCAGCAGCCGCGGUAAUACGUAGGUGGCAAGCGUUAUCCCGGAAUUAUUGGGCGUAAAGCGCGCGCAGGCGGUUUCUUAAGUCUGAUGUGAAAGCCCACGGCUCAACCGUGGAGGGUCAUUGGAAACUGGGGAACUUGAGUGCAGAAGAGAAAAGCGGAAUUCCACGUGUAGCGGUGAAAUGCGUAGAGAUGUGGAGGAACACCAGUGGCGAAGGCGGCUUUUUGGUCUGUAACUGACGCUGAGGCGCGAAAGCGUGGGGAGCAAACAGGAUUAGAUACCCUGGUAGUCCACGCCGUAAACGAUGAGUGCUAAGUGUUAGAGGGUUUCCGCCCUUUAGUGCUGCAGCUAACGCAUUAAGCACUCCGUCCUGGGGAGUACGGUCGCAAGACUGAAACUCAAAGGAAUUGACGGGGGCCCGCACAAGCGGUGGAGCAUGUGGUUUAAUUCGAAAGCAACGCGAAGAACCUUACCAGGUCUUGACAUCCUCUGACAACUUCUAGAGAUAGAGCGUUCCCCUUUCGGGGGGACAGAGUGACAGGUGGUGCAUGGUUGUCGUCAGCUUCGUGUCGUGAGAAUGUUGGGUUAAGUCCCGCAACGAGCGCAACCCUUGAUUCUUAGUUGCCAGCAUUUAGUUGGGCACUCUAAGGUGAACUGCCGGUGACAAACCGGAGGAAGGUGGGGAUGACGUCAAAUCAUCAAUGCCCCUUAAGACCGGACCUACACACGUGCUACAAUGGAUGGUACAAAGGGCUGCAAGACCGCGAGGUCAAGCCAAUCCCAUAAAACCAUUCUCAGUUCGGAUUGUAGGCUGCAACUCGCCUACAUGAAGCUGGAAUCGCUAGUAAUCGCGGAUCAGCAUGCCGCGGUGAAUACGUUCCCGGGCCUUGUACACACCGCCCGUCACACCACGAGAGUUUGUAACACCCGAAGUCGGUGGAGUAACCGUAAGGAGCUAGCCGCCUAAGUUGACCCGGAAUUU
rnacentral:rRNA from 1 species